AUGCUGGAAUUGCUGAAGCUUCACUGUUCUGUGAUAGUUAGCAUCUUGUCUUUAGCUACAAACAGUUCCAUUCCCAUCAUAUGGCAGCAGAGAUGUUGUACCUUUAUUGGGCAGUACUGGACUCAAAGACAAAGCAGGAUCAUGAAGGGGAAUGAACCUCUACCCUCAAAAUGAGCACGGUCCCACUAUUGCCUUCUGGCCCCAUGCUGACUGGAUUGCACAUUCUAAUUAAGAUCUUGCAAUAGGCAAAGUGAAUGUUACUACUUUUGUGGAACUUUGCUUUUUUAUUCCAAAGUCUCUGGAAAUUGAAAACAAAGGACCAGCUAUUGGCUACAACUUCUAGCAUAUAUGAAACUGUGCAUUAAAUAAUCAUCCCAAAAUACUUUGUGCCAUUUGUUACAGUUACUUUCUAAUAAAUAUUAAUUCAACCUCCCA
rnacentral:lncRNA from 1 species